rnacentral:rRNA from 1 species
AUGAACGCUAGCGGCAGGCCUAACACAUGCAAGUCGAGCGGGAUUUUCGACUUCGGUUGAAAUGAGAGCGGCGCACGGGUGAGUAACGCGUAUGCAAUCUACCUCAUACUGGGGGAAUAGCCCGGAGAAAUCCGGAUUAAUACCCCAUAGUAUUUAUGAAUCGCAUGGUUUAUGAAUUAAAGAUUUAUCGGUAUGAGAUGAGCAUGCGUCCUAUUAGUUAGUUGGAGAGGUAACGGCUCCCCAAGACUACGAUAGGCAGGGGUUCUGAGAGGAUGAUCCCCCACACUGGUACUGAGACACGGACCAGACUCCUACGGGAGGCAGCAGUGAGGAAUAUUGGUCAAUGGACGCAAGUCUGAACCAGCCAUGCCGCGUGCAGGAAUAAGGUCCUCUGGAUUGUAAACUGCUUUUAUACAGGAAUAAACCUCUCGACGUGUCGAGAGCUGAAGGUACUGUAGGAAUAAGCACCGGCUAACUCCGUG